GACAUCAUGUUCAGUGCUUAAGAUAUAGUCGGGCCACCGGGGAAACUCGGUGGGUGAGUACAUUACAACCCUUUCAACCGUUCCGUAGGUGAACCUGCGGAAGGAUCAUUA
rnacentral:rRNA from 1 species